GACAGGAGGGGCGAGCGUUGAGCGUUUGUACUGGGCCUAAAGCGCGGGUAUGUGGGUAUGAAAUCGAAAGCUGUUGCCUAUCUUACAGAUAGGUGUAGCAGCAAAAGAAAGGCCCUCCGAGGAUGGAGGCGUUUCUAGAGUGACUUCAUACCUGGGGUCCAUGGAAGGUUGACAGAAUGGCCCAAGGACCGGUAGAAUGGAAAGAUAUGGGUUGGAAUCGUCAA
rnacentral:rRNA from 1 species